GUGGGGAAUUUUGGACAAUGGGCGCAAGCCUGAUCCAGCAAUGCCGCGUGCAGGAAGAAGGCCUUCGGGUUGUAAACUGCUUUUGUACGGAACGAAACGGUCCGGGUUAAUACCCUGGGCUAAUGACGGUACCGUAAGAAUAAGCACCGGCUAACUACGUGCCAGCAGCCGCGGUAAUACGUAGGGUGCAAGCGUUAAUCGGAAUUACUGGGCGUAAAGCGUGCGCAGGCGGGUUUGUAAGACAGGCGUGAAAUCCCCGGGCUCAACCUGGGAAUUGCGCUUGUGACUGCAAGGCUGGAGUGCGGCAGAGGGUGAUGGAAGUCCGCGUGUAGCAGUGAAAUGCGUAGAUAUGCGGAGGAACACCGAUGGCGAAGGCAAUCCCCUGGGCCUGCACUGACGCUCAUGCACGAAAGCGUGGGGAGCAAACAGGAUUAGAAACCCUUGUAGUCC
rnacentral:rRNA from 1 species